rnacentral:rRNA from 1 species
CCUACGGGUUGCUGCAGUGGGGAAUAUUGGACAAUGGGCGAAAGCCUGAUCCAGCCAUGCCGCGUGUGUGAAGAAGGCCUUCGGGUUGUAAAGCACUUUCAGUGGGGAAGAAAGCCUUGGGGCUAAUACCCUCGAGGAAGGACAUCACCCACAGAAGAAGCACCGGCUAACUCCGUGCCAGCAGCCGCGGUAAUACGGAGGGUGCGAGCGUUAAUCGGAAUUACUGGGCGUAAAGCGCGCGUAGGCGGUCUGAUAAGCCGGUUGUGAAAGCCCCGGGCUCAACCUGGGAACGGCAUCCGGAACUGUCAGGCUAGAGUGCAGGAGAGGAAGGUAGAAUUCCCGGUGUAGCGGUGAAAUGCGUAGAGAUCGGGAGGAAUACCAGUGGCGAAGGCGGCCUUCUGGACUGACACUGACGCUGAGGUGCGAAAGCGUGGGUAGCAAACAGGAUUAGAUACCCUUGUAGUC